rnacentral:rRNA from 1 species
UACGGAGGGUCCAAGCGUUAUCCGGAUUUAUUGGGUUUAAAGGGUCCGCAGGCGGAAAAAUAAGUCAGUGGUGAAAGCCUAUCGCUUAACGAUAGAACUGCCAUUGAUACUGUUUUUCUUGAGUAUACUUGAAGUGGGCGGAAUGUGUCAUGUAGCGGUGAAAUGCAUAGAUAUGACACAGAACACCGAUUGCGAAGGCAGCUCACUAAAUUAUAACUGACGCUCAUGGACGAAAGCGUGGGGAGCAAACAGG